GUAGCACAGAAUCAACCUAAAGGAAAUUAUGUUGAAAACAGUAUUGAUUUUAGCUAUUGGUUUGGUUCAUUCCAUUGAGACGAAUGGCGAAAUGGAAGAACGAUCGCAUCUUAUUUCUUCAAUAAGCAAGGUCCAAGAUGCAGUCAAAGGGAAUUUUGAGGGGCCGAAAAACGAAAAUAGUAAAGAUAAAGAUAAAGAUGAAGACCACUAAACUUGAUGAUCUGGAUUUGGCUGUUUCAAUAUUACGUGAAGAUAUAGACAGAUUAAUGGCAACAUAUAAUAGCGAAUCCGAUGUUUCAGUCGAUGAA